CAUGGAGUAUCAAUCAAGAUCAAUUUUAUGCUCCAAGUCCAACAUACCCACCGGAUUUCUCGUGUCCAUCUCCACUACAACAGGAAGAACAUUCAAAUUGGGAGGAAGCCUUGAAAAAAGUUAUUAAAGCUUCUGAAAAGAAACACGAGGAACAUGAAAAGAAACUUAAUCAAAUGGAGCUGAGUAUACAAAGUCAGAAUGCAUCGAUCAAGA
rnacentral:lncRNA from 1 species